UCUGACACAGGUGCUGCAUGGCUGUCGUCAGCUCGUGUCGUGAGAUGUUGGGUUAAGUCCCGUUAACGAGCGCAACCCUUGUCCUUAGUUUACCAGCACGUUAUGGUGGGCACUCUAAGGAGACUGCCGGUGACAAACCGGAGGAAGGUGGGGAGUGACGUCAAGUCAUCAUGGCCCUUACGGCCUGGGCUACACACGUGCUACAAUGGUCGGUACAAAGGGUUGCCAAGCCGCGAGGUGGAGCUAAUCCCAUAAAACCGAUCGUAGUCCGGAUCGCAGUCUGCAACUCGACUGCGUGAAGUCGGAAUUGCUAGUAAUCGUGAAUCAGAAUGUCACGGUGAAUACGUUCCCGGGCCUU
rnacentral:rRNA from 1 species